UAAAGCGCAACAAACCUGAUUUUGCACGUAUGCAUAUAUCCUGCUAUACCUGCUGAUCGUGUGCUCAGUUCCCUGAUGACUGCAUUUCGGUAGGGAAGCACCCAAAUGCAGGGUAAAACACGACUUUAUCUGUGUUUCCUCUUCUAACUGCCCUAUGUCAGGGUUCCCUGAUGCAGGUUUGGGAUGCCCAGAGAAGAAAACGGAGCAAAGAGGCGAGCGCUGCCACAGCUCCGGCCCGGGUAGGCCCUGCCCGGCCCCGCCGAGCCCGGGGCGGCCUCGGGUCGGUGCCCCCGGCUGGGGGGACCCCCGGGGAAGCCCGACCCGGCCGAGGGGCGCCGUGGAGGCCCCGCUGCCUGCCGAGGAGCUGCCGCCCGGCCCCGCCGCGCAGCCACAGCGCGGCCCUGGAGGGGCGGAGGCGCUGCCGGAGGUGCCUGGGGGGGAGCGGGCGGGCGCCGAGGGAGCGCAGGGACGGAGACCGCAGCUCGUCCCCGGCUCUGUCCGUGAAAUCCGUGCCAUGCAGCAGCGUUGGGAGCGCCGCCGUGAACCAGCCACCCAGCCCGCUGCAUUUAGGCUGGUGCCUGCAUCGUCACAGGAGUGCCAUGAAGGUGUACAUGUGGGGAGAGCCUCGGCGGACUGAACUUCAGGAUCACACUUGAAAGCAGUGGAACGAGGGGUGUCCGUAUGAGCACGUUAACG